ACGCUGGCGGCGUUCUUAACACAUGCAAGUCGAACGAUGAAGCCUAGCUUGCUAGGUGGAUUAGUGGCGAACGGGUGAGUAAUACGUGAGUAACCUACCUUUAACUCUGGGAUAAGCCUGGGAAACUGGGUCUAGUACCGGAUACGACCAAUCUCCGCAUGGGGUGUUGGUGGAAAGCGUUAUGUAGUGGUUAUAGAUGGGCUCACGGCCUAUCAGCUUGUUGGUGAGGUAACGGCUCACCAAGGCGACGACGGGUAGCCGGCCUGAGAGGGUGACCGGCCACACUGGGACUGAGACACGGCCCAGACUCCUACGGGAGGCAGCAGUGGGGAAUAUUGCACAAUGGGCGCAAGCCUGAUGCAGCGACGCCGCGUGAGGGAUGACGGCCUUCGGGUUGUAAACCUCUGUUAGCAGGGAAGAAGAGAGAUUGACGGUACCUGCAGAGAAAGCGCCGGCUAACUACGUGCCAGCAGCCGCGGUAAUACGUAGGGCGCGAGCGUUGUCCGGAAUUAUUGGGCGUAAAGAGCUUGUAGGCGGUUUGUCGCGUCUGCUGUGAAAGGCCGGAGCUUAACUCCGUGUAUUGCAGUGGGUACGGGCAGACUAGAGUUCAGUAGGGGAGACUGGAAUUCCUGGUGUAACGGUGGAAUGCGCAGAUAUCAGGAGGAACACCGAUGGCGAAGGCAGGUCUCUGGGCUGUAACUGACGCUGAGAAGCGAAAGCAUGGGGAGCGAACAGGAUUAGAUACCCUGGUAGUCCAUGCCGUAAACGUUGGGCACUAGGUGUGGGGGACAUUCCACGUUUUCCGCGCCGUAGCUAACGCAUUAAGUGCCCCGCCUGGGGAGUACGGCCGCAAGGCUAAAACUCAAAGAAAUUGACGGGGGCCCGCACAAGCGGCGGAGC
rnacentral:rRNA from 1 species